rnacentral:tRNA from 1 species
GCCGCGGUGGUGGAACUGGUAUACACGAGGGACUUAAAAUCCCUUGCUCUCGGGCAUGCGGGUUCGAUUCCCGCCCGCGGCA